CAAAAAUGAUGUCUGUUCCUAGGCUUAGGCUGGGAUUAAACACAAUUAAUGUGUGGCGUUAUUCAGAGCAUGCCCUGGGAGUUUUAGGACAGCUCAGGGCCUGCUGGGUGUUGUAGUUUUGUAACAGGUGGACAGCCACAGGGGAUCACUGAUGCAGUAUGUCAAUCUAGGGCCAUGGUGUCUGAUCUUGAACUGGCAGCAGGAGCCACGACCACUUUAAAUCAAUGGCUGCCGGGACGUCUGACGAGUGACAUCCUUUGCUCCAGACCGCAACGUCAGGGACGUCACUCAUCAGACAUCCCGGCGGCUAGCGCUGCUCAUUGCUCAUUGAGCCUGCCGGAGCCGCGCUGAUCUAUGUAAGAAACCUAUGGGCCCAGGCUGUUGGGGCCACCAAUUGAUAUUACAAAUACUGAGUGUCUGGUUAGGAGAAACAAAUAUUUCACAAUGAUAGGGAGUAGCGCCAUUUUAAUAAAAAAAAUCCCCCAAAUCCCUUAGAUAACAGUCAUACAGAGUAUAUUAGAAAGCUUUUUAGAUUUUCAGCCAAUCAGAGAGCAGCACUGCUCAAAUAGAACUCCCAGGAGGUAACAGCGUGUCACACAUGUGAUGUCAUAACCAUUGUCCACCAGAGAGCAGCACUGAGCAGAUAUAACACUGCUCCUGCUCAUUCUCCAUCAGUGAGGGGCCGGUGCUGGACACUGUAGGGACGCGGGAAUGUGAAGUCAAAAACAUGACUGUGACUGAUGCAUUAUUUCCAGCAUGUGGAGUAGCAUUUCCGGACUUAAAGCAAGAAGUUGGAUGAUGGCCUAGAUUUCCGGACCUACAGCAAGACGUUGGAUGAUGGCCUAGAUUUCCGGACCUACAGCAAGAAGUUGGAUGAAGGCACAGCCCCUCGAAUCACGAACAUACACAGACACAUUGGCCCAAAUUCUAGAGGUAACCUCCUUUAGUAUGCCCAGAGGAAGGGCAAUACAGUAGCCAUGGAUUCCCUACAGGUUUCCUCCCCUCUGGAGGUUUUUCCUGUCCUGAGUUAGUUACUGUACGCUCUUUGUGAGUGAUGGGAGGUUACAUAAAUCCCUACACAAACACUUUAAUAAAUAAUAAAUAAAGUUUCCCUUUUUUUAAACUGUU